rnacentral:rRNA from 1 species
AUUGAACGCUGGCGGCAGGCCUAACACAUGCAAGUCGAGCGGACGAAGGAAGCUUGCUCCUUGCUUCAGCUGCGGACGGGUGAGUAAUGCCUAGGAAUCUGCCCGGUAGUGGGGGAUGACGUCCCGAAACGGGCGCUAAUAUCGCAUACGUCCUUAGUUUGAAAGGGGGGGAUCUUCGGACCUCACGCUAUUAGAUGAGCCUAGGUCGGAUUAGCUAGUUGGGAAGGUAAAGGCCUACGAAGGCGACGAUCCGUAACUGGUCUGAGAGGAUGAUCAGUCACACUGGAACUGAGACACGGUCCAGACUCCUACGGGAGGCAGCAGUAGGGAAUCUUGGACAAUGGGCGAAAGCCUGACGGAGCAACGCCGCGUGAGUGAAGAAGGUCUUCGGAUUGUAAAACUCUGUAAUUUGGGAGGAAGGGCAGUAAGUGAAACCCUGCCUGUUUUGACGUUACCAAAAGAGAAAGCCACGGCUAACUUCGUG